CUGAGACUCAUGAGACUGAAGGAUGGAUCAUCAUGUGAAAGUGGUGCUUUGAGUAAAUAAAUCAAAUCACUAAAUGCUCUCUAUCUCUUGUUUGGUCAUAAAUUCUUCAUAUCUCCAAAGAUCUACCAGUUUCAAGAACAUUUUGAAAUACAGCACAUUUUUGUGCUCUUCAUUCCUGUUUUAUUGUUCAUUUCAUCAUUUCCUGUGAGGGUGUGGAAGAUCCCAUUAUUCAGAGUUAAGUAAGAAAAGAGUGAGGAAAAGGGAGAAAAGGCCGAGGCAAAAACCAAGGAGGAAGAAAGAAACAUCAGUUUCCCUUGCUCACUGUCAAAGCUGCUUCUUCACUGUGACUCUAAAAGGCAUAAACUAUGCU
rnacentral:lncRNA from 1 species